rnacentral:rRNA from 1 species
CCAAAGACUCUCGGCAACGGAUAUCUCGGCUCUUGCAUCGAUGAAGAACGUAGCGAAAUGCGAUACUUGGUGUGAAUUGCAGAAUCCCGUGAACCAUCGAGUCGUUGAACGCAAGUUGCGCCCGAAGCCAUCAGGCCGAGGGCACGCCUGCCUGGGUGUCGCAC